CCAGCAAAUUGCUCAAAUGUCGGUGUGCUCUCAUGAACAGAAACGAUGGCACGGUGGGUCCUGGUCUCAAGACUUCCUCUCAAUGAUUCAGAGGUCUUGGGGGUUUUUUGUCUGAAUAUCAGGCAAAGAGGAAGGACGGCUACAAUGGAGGAGUCUCCUACCACGCUUGUGGUCGUCACUGUAGUGCUCAGUUGAAUGGUGUGUCCAUUGGGGUUGGAGUCCCCAUCCUGUUCUGGGUCCUGGCCCCCCACAGGCUCCAGGGACAUAACCCUUCCAGUUCAGGAUCAUGUGCUGGGGCACUGUUCCCUGAGGUGGGACUCUGGGCUGUAACAGCUGCUUUUGAAGCAUGUUCCAGCUUCAACCACGUGCUUGGACGACACCAGCUCUUCCCACAUACUCUUCCCCAGCUCUUGUGUUGAGUUUGGCUUCCACCUUCCUCCAGCUGUAGAGACAGGGUUUCUCCAUGUGGGCCAGGCUGGUCUCGAAAUCCUGGCCUCAAGUGAUCUGCCCUUCCUCGGCCUCCCAACAUGCUGGGAUUACAGGCUCUGCCUCCUCUGUCGAAAAUUCAAGGCAGGCGGAAUGCAGUGCUGCCCCUGACACACACCACAGUAGCGACUCCAGUCUUCAUCUGAGAUGAUGGCACAGACAGUGUUUCACUCUUGUUGCCAAGGCUGGAGUGCAGUGGCGCCAUCUCAUCUCCCUUGCAAUCUCUGUCUCCUGGGUUCAAGUGAUUCUCCUGCCUCAGCCACCCUAGUAGCUGGGAUUACAGGCACCCGCCACCACGCCUGGCUAAUUUUUUUUUUCAGUAGAGGUGGGAUUUUGGGGUUUCGCCAUGUUGUCCAGGCUGGUCUCAAAUGCCUGGCCUCAGACAUACACCCACCUUGGCCUCCCAAAGUGCUGGGAUUACAGAGACCAUGAUGUUUUUUACUUUCAGCACAGUAUUCAAUAGAUUACAUAAAAUAUUUAACACUUGCUUGUGCUGAAUGAUUUUGACUAACUGUAGGCUAAUCGAAGCGUUUUGAGCAUGUUUAAGGUAGGCAAAGCUAAGCUAUGAUGUUUAGUAGAUGAGGUAUAUCAAAUGCAUUUUCAACCUAAAAUAUUUUCAACUAACAAUGGAUUUAUUGUGAUGUAACUUUACUGUAAGUUGAGAAGCAUAUGUACGUGUGUAUACAGAUACCUAUAUAGAGAGAUAUCUAUAGAUAUAAAUAUAUAGACAGAUUGAUGAUAGAUAGGUCAAUAGAGCAAAUCUUGCUUUAGGAAAAUCUGAAACAUCUUAAUAUCCCUUGGAAACAAGAUGGUGUAGUAAGCUGUUCCGGCAUCACUAUAAAGAAAUAUCUGAGGCUGUGUAAUUAGUAAGAAAAGAGGUUUAGUUGUCUCAUGGUUCUGCUGGCUGUACAGGAAGCAUAGGGCUGGCAUCAGCUUCUGGGGAGGCCUCAGAAAGCUUCCAAUCAUGGGGUAAGAAAAAGGGGGAGCAGGUGUCUUACAUGGCAGGAAUGGGAGCUAGAGGGUAGGGGGAGGUGCCUCUGGAUUUAAACAACCGGAUCUCACAAGAAAUCACUCACUGUUGCAAAAACAGCACCAAGGAGGGAUGGUGAUAAGCCAAUCAUAAGAAAUCCACCUCCACGAUCAGUCACCUCCCACUCAUAAGAAAUCCACCUCCAUGAUCAGUCACCUCCCACUCAUAAGAAAUCCACCUCCACGAUCAGUCACCUCCCACUCAUAAGAAAUCCACCUCCACGAUCAGUCACCUCCCACUCAUAAGAAAUCCACCUCCACGAUCAGUCACCUCCCACUCAUAAGAAAUCCACCUCCAUGAUCAGUCACCUCCCACCAGGCCCCGCCUCCACGAUCAGUCACCUCCCACCAGGCCCCGCCUCCAACACUGAGGAUAACAGUUUAACAUGAGAUUUGGGGGAACGAAUAUCUAAACUAUUUCAAUUAAUAAUGGGCUAAUAAAGCCAAGUCAACUCUUAUGGGAACAUCAUCGGACGCUUGUCAAGAUAUUAGGGAAGAAUGCUGAGAGAGGGGGUGGAGCGGGCACACGGAAAGAAACAGAGAUGGGAGCACUCUCCACCCUCACAGCACCAUGAGGGAAGUAGCCUUGACCUUGAUAUUCCCACAGGAACUCAGGGUGCUGAGCUUGUAUUGCCGACAUCAUCAUUUUUCUGAACAAGCCUGGGUAAGUCUCUACUGCCUGUAAACAAAAGAGGCGUGGCUAGAAUGAAAAUCAUGCUAGGUGAAGAAUCGUGAUGCAAAUUGGCUUUUAUGUAUUAGGCCAACUUUGUAAAAGAUAAGCACAC
rnacentral:lncRNA from 1 species